rnacentral:rRNA from 1 species
AGCAGCCGCGGUAAUUCCAGCUCCAAUAGCGUAUAUUAAAGUUGUUGCAGCUAAAAAGCUCGUAGUUGAACUUCGGGAUUUACCCAUUGGUCAGGCUUAAUUGUCUGUACUGGUGAGAUAAAUCUCUACCUUCUGAGGAACUUUCAUGUCAUUAAUUUGGUGUGAUUGGAAAUCAGGACUGUUACUUUGAAAAAUUAGAGUGUUUAAAGCAGGCUAACGUCUGAAUACAUUAGCAUGGAAUAAUGAAAUAGGACGGACUGAUUCUAUUUCGUUGGUUUCUAGGAUCACCGUAAUGAUUAAUAGGGAUAGUUGGGGGCAUUAGUAUUCAAUUGUCAGAGGUGAAAUUCUUGGAUUUAUUGAAGACUAACUACUGCGAAAGCAUUUGCCAAGGAUGUUUUCAUUAAGCAAGAACGAAAGUUAGGGGAUCGAAGACGAUCAGAUACCGUCGUA